rnacentral:lncRNA from 1 species
GCUCGGACCUCGGCAGCAGGGAGAAGAGAGAGAAACUGAGGCACGGUUAAAAACGGGGGGGGGCCGGAAAUGUGGGGGGCGGACCCCCCCCCCCCCCCCAAAGCUCUGCCCCCCCUCCCCCACCACGUCCCGCCCCACAAGUCGCCCCCUCCCCACCCCACGUUUCUCCCCCCCCGGCCCCACGUCCCCUCCCGUGGGGCGGCAGCGGCGCCCGCGGUGGGACCCGGCCCCACGGCUCGUGCCCCGACCCACAGAGGCCGUGGGGCAGAUGUGGGGCAGAUGUGGGGCAGGGCAGCCCCGCUGUGGGUCACGAUGUGGGGCAGCCCCACUGUGGGUCAGCCCUGCUGUGGGUCAGCAGAAGAUGAGAUGUGGGUCAGGGCUGCUGUGGGUCAGAUGUGGGUGAGAUGUGGGUCAGCCCCAGCCCCUCUGUGGGUCAGACGUGGGGCAGCCCUGCCGUGGGUCAGAUGUGGGUCAGCUGUGGGUCAGCCCCAGCCCCUCUGUGGGUCAGACGUGGGGCAGCCCUGCCAUGGGGCAGCUGUGGGUCAGCCCCGGGCUCAUUGUGGCUCAGCAGGAGAUCAGAUGUGGGGCAGCCCCACUGUGGAUGUGGGUCAGAUGUGGGGCAGGCCUGCUGUGGGUCAGGGUCUCUAUGGGUCGGCCAUGAGUCAGAUGUGGGGCAGCUCCUCUGGAUGUGGGUCAGCUGUGAGUCAGAUGUGGGUCUCUAUGGGUCGGCCGUGGGUCAGAUGUGGGGCAGGGCGGGCAGGCUCUGUGGGUCCCUGUGGGUCUCUAUGGGUCGCAGU